rnacentral:rRNA from 1 species
AUUGAACGCUGGCGGCAGGCCUAACACAUGCAAGUCGAGCGGGACGGCGGACGGGCGAGUAAUGACUAGGUAUCUGUCUGCUCGUGGGGGAUAACGUCCGGCAACGGGCGCUAAUUACGCAUAUUAUCUGUUGGGUCUAGGUGGGUUUAGCUAGUUGGUGGGGUAAAGGCCUACCAAGGCGACGAACCGUAACUGGUCUGAGAGGAUGAUCAGUCACACUGGGACUGAGACACGGCCCAGACUCCUACGGGAGGCAGCAGUGGGGAAUAUUGGACAAUGGGCGAAAGCCUGAUGCAGCCAUGCCGCGUGUAUGAAGAAGGUCUUCGGAUUGUAAAGCACUUUAAGUUGGGAGGCGUUACCAACAGAAUAAGCACCGGCUAACUCCGUGCCAGCAGCCGCGGUAAUUC